rnacentral:rRNA from 1 species
AUUGAACGCUGGCGGCAGGCUUAACACAUGCAAGUCGAGCGGAGAUGAGGUGCUUGCACCUUAUCUUAGCGGCGGACGGGUGAGUAAUGCUUAGGAAUCUGCCUAUUAGUGGGGGACAACAUUCCGAAAGGAAUGCUAAUACCGCAUACGUCCUACGGGGGAAAACAGGGGAUCUUCGGACCUUGCGCUAAUAGAUGAGCCUAAGCCGGAUUAGCUAGUUGGUGGGGUAAAGGCCUACCAAGGCGACGAUCUGUAGCGGGUCUGAGAGGAUGAUCCGCCACACUGGGACUGAGACACGGCCCAGACUCCUACGGGAGGCAGCAGUGGGGAAUAUUGGACAAUGGGGGGAACCCUGAUCCAGCCAUGCCGCGUGUGUGAAGAAGGCCUUAUGGUUGUAAAGCACUUUAAGCGAGGAGGAGGCUACUGAGACUAAUACUCUUGGAUAGUGGACGUUACUCGCAGAAUAAGCACCGGCUAACUCUGUGCCAGCCGCCGCAGUAA